rnacentral:rRNA from 1 species
UACAGAGGUCUCAAGCGUUGUUCGGAUUCAUUGGGCGUAAAGGGCGCGUAGGCGGUGAUACAUGUGUGAUGUGAAAGCCCCGGGCUUAACCUGGGAAGUGCAUCGCAAACUGUAUAACUGGAGUAUAUGAGAGGGUGGCGGAAUUUCCGGUGUAGCGGUGAAAUGCGUAGAGAUCGGAAGGAACGUCGAUGGCGAAGGCAGCCACCUGGCAUAAUACUGACGCUGAGGCGCGAAAGCGUGGGGAGCGAACAGG